CAAAUUAGAGCUUGAAUUUAAAGCAUUUUAGUUACAUUAAAAAGAUAAUUUAAAAUUUAAUUUGA
rnacentral:tRNA from 1 species